rnacentral:piRNA from 1 species
UGGGUACCAAGAUGCCUAGCACCAAA